GCAUUUCCUCCCCACUCCCUGCCGCCCCAGACUGCUGCCAAGUCCUCAUGUGACACAUAUAGAGACGUCAGUUGCUCACUCAGUUAAGCUGAGCUCCACAUGUUGGCUUGAUGGGAGGAGCUGCUGACCCCCUUGGUAAUUACUCAGUCUAACAGCUUAACCAACAUGCAAAUUCCUCUGUUGAAUGACAGAAUAGUAGUAAGUAGUGGUUCAUCCUGAGAGUGCCUUGGACCACAAGAAGAUCCAACCAGUCCAUCCUCCAGGAAAUAAUGCCUGGCUGCUCACUAGAGGGAAGUAUAUUAGAGGCAAAGUUGAAGUAUUUUGGCCACAUCAUGAGAAGACAGGAAAGCUUGGAGAAGAUCAUGAUGCUGGAGAAAAUGGAAAGAAAAAGGAAGAGAGGCCGACCAAGGGCAAGAUGGAUGGACGGUAUCCUUCAAGUGACUGGCUCGACUUUGAAGGAAUUGGGGGCGACAACAGCCAACAGGGAGCUCUGGCGUGGACUGGUCCAUGAGGUCACGAAGAGUCAAAAACGACUGAAUGAGUGAGGCGAUGAGUGGUUCAUUCAGAUCUGUGGCAUGAAAACUUGAAAUCAUCAGAAUAUUUGUCAACAUCCAAAGCCUGCUUUUUGCUAGUUUUUGAACAUAGACUCAAAGUAAUCAACUGCGACAAGUAAUUUUGAAUCAGUUAUAAAGAGUUUGUCUGAAGGCCAAUUUAUAUAAUCCUAGAAUAAAGAGAUAGUGCGAGUUAAGAGUUUAAUUUGUUCUACGACCAAGUUCUUAACUCAGAUUGCUCUUAUCUCAAGGCAAAUUUUGGCAUGGAAAUUCACUGAAAUGCCAUUAAUCCAUUUCGGCUCCCUAAACUCCCCCUCCUCAUUUUUUGUUCAAAUAAGAAAAUGUACUUUAUAAAUAACAAAUAAUGUAUAAAUGUGUAUUAACAUGGAACAACAACAAAAAAUCAACAUUAAAAUGGUCGAAGCACAACGUUGUGGCAAGGAAGCACAUUUGAGGCAACAAAAUAUGUGUUGGCCAAACCUGCAAAUUCACAUGGAACAAUAAAGAAAGAUCAACUUUAAAAUGGUAGAAGCAUCAAGUUGUGGCAAGGAAGUACAAACUGAAGAGGCAGAAGUAUUAUUUUCUUCAUACUGGACUCAUUCCAGUCUCCCUCCCUCCCUCUCUUGCUCUCCCUCCCUCUCUCUCUUCAUGAAGCCAAACAUACCGGGAAUAAAAACCACACAAACUCAAUUAACCCAAAGUUCCUCGAAGUGGACAAGAGCAAAGUGGACAGCAAUCUCCCAAAGUGGACAAGAGCACAAGGAAGAGAGGUUGCUUCCUUGAAGUCCUAAAGCCCUGUACUCUCGGGCUGGUGCUCCCUCCGGCAUUAAUAAUAAUAAUCUUUAUUUGUAUACCACUCUCCCUAAAGAGACUCAGGGCAGUUUCCAAUAUAAGUAAAUCACUCAACAUCAAUAUAAAAAACAUACAUCACAACAUAGUAAAACAUAAACAGAAUUACUAUUAAUACAAUGUACUCAUUUAAAAUUAAAGAUUAAAAACCCGAUUCAAAAUUAUUCCAUUGGGUGGAUUCAGCUACCAAUGGCCAGCAUUCCAGAGUGGGCCUAGACACUGAAAAAGGCUGGGCCAGGGCUAAUGCAGCAAAGUGAACAUAAAGCUGGGGGUAAAUAAAGUGUAACCGAUAGGGCCUGGAUUACUCGGUCUCCAGGCCUGGUGAGCAGCUAUACUAGUGUAACAAGAUAUUGUAGGGCUGGGAUGUGGGUAAAGUGCAAAGUGGGGCCCUGUCUGGAGGCAUGGGUAGGAUCUCGAAUUAAUCAUUUUCAACGGUCUGCUGGAACCACCAGGCUUUCAGGUCCCUACAGAAGGAGGCUAGUGUCAGGGCUUGUCUUAUCUUCUUGGGAAGGAUGUUCCAAAGGCGGGGGGGGGGGGGGCACCAUCGAGAAGGCCCUCUCCCUUGUCCCCACCAACCGCAUUUGAGACGGUGGUGCGAGUGAGAGGAGGGCCUUGCCGGAAGAUCUAAGAGUCUGCGCUGGUACAUAGGGGGAGAUGUGAUUGUGGAGAUAGGCAGGGACUGGGCCAUUUAGGGCUUUAUAUGUCAUACCCUGCACCUUGAAUUGGGCCUGGCAACUUAUCGGCAACCAGUGAAGCUGCUUUAAUAUGGGCAUUUACGUACCCUACAAUCAGCUUUAGUUAAGAAUCUGGCUGCAGAUCUUUGUACCAGUUGGAAUUUCCAGACCAUCUUCAAAGACAGCCCCAUAUAGAGCAUGUUGCAGUAAUCCAAUCUAGAUGUAACCGAGGUGUGGAUCACCGUUGCCAAAUCAGACUUCAUGAGGUAUGGUUGCAGCUUGCACACAAGCUUUAACUGUACAAAGGCCCUCCCGGCCACCACCGACAACUGAGCAUCAAGUGUCAGCACCGAGUCCAGGAGGACCCCCAAGCUGCGGACCUGUGUCCUUAGGGGGAGUGUAACCCCGUUGAGCACAGGUUGCCACCCAAUACCCCGAUCAGCCCCACGACUGACCAAGAAGACCUCUGUCUUGUCUGAAUUAAGUUUCAAGUUAUUAGCCCUCAUCCGUCAUAGCUGUCAGACACUGGUUUAAGAUCCGGGAGACUUCCUUGGAGUUCAGUGGAAAGGAGUAGUAGAGUUGGGUGUCAUCUGCGCAUUAGCUCUUAGCUCAAAAUGUUGUUCAUAUGUCAAAGCAAAACCCAAGCAGAGCAAUGGCUCUUAACACAAAAUGCUCUUAAGUUGGAUGCUGUUAAGUUGAAGUUCCACUAUAACAUCCUUGACCUUAUGUCUGUAUUGGAUUAGGAGUCAGAAAAGUCAAUGCCCUCCAAAAAGAUGUUGUCUUUCAUGCUUCAUACUUGUGCAAUCACAGAGACGGACUCAUAUAAAUGAAUGACAUUCUAGAAUAAUAAUUUUGUGCGUUGCUAAGGCAAGAAAUCUCUAUUUCACAUCAGUUUGGUCACAUAGCAAAGGCUAUUGGCGUCCUUUUCUAGGACUUGGGAAAAGUUAUUUUUUGGAACUGAAAUUGGAAAUUAAGGUAAUGUUGUAAUGCUCUGUAUCUGUUAAUGGUAACUGUACAUGUUGAAAUGGUAAUUUUUUCCUGGACUUUUUGCUUUUUCACCAUAUCACCUGAUUGCUAAACUCUUUUCCUUUGUGUAAAUUAUUUCUUUAUCAGUUCAGACUGAUAUCUCCUAUACCCACAGCUAUUCUUGUUCACCUAUACUCUCUUGAUUAAUUUUAAAUUCAGCCGUUUGUUUUUAAAAAUCUAUAUUUUAUAUACUCACAGUUUUCUUCGUUAACUCUAAUUUGCAUCCAGUUUGUAUUUUAGCGUAUAUCUUUGUUGUCAUCUGAUACCACUGCUUUAGUGUUUCAUGGAGCUUUCUUUUGAUGCUGCUGAAAUGAUUCAUUAAUGAAUUUGAAUUUUACAUAUCCAGUCAACUGAAAUUUGCUAUCCCAUACAGAAUAUGAAUGGCUGUACUAGUUACCUGGCAUGCUUAAAAUACCACAGCAGUCUUCGCCGUAAUACUGCAUUUGGCUAGUGCAAACUCUAUGCAAUUCUCUAUGAUGCUGAGUUUGUGUGGAGCUAUAUAGCCUUCAUGUACAUGGACAUACUUGUUACCAUAUUUGAUUUGCCCUUCCAUAAUACAGUGCAUUUUGAAGUUGGUUUUUUCUGGAAAGUAAAAUGAAUGUACUCAAUGCUAUUAGAUGAUAUCAUUAUCAAUAUACCUUAUAUAAGUAUGUGUCUAUGUAUCUAUAUAUGCUUGUAUGUAUUUUCAAGUUUAUUCCCCCUUCCAGAGAGUUCUGUGAGUUCCACCAACAAUAGAUCUGGACCAAAAAUUGGAAUAUAGACACCUAAUGACCAACAGAAAAUACUGGAGAGCUUUAGGGGGAAUUGACCCACAACACUGGGAGUUGCAUCCAGAGAGCACUGUGACACCCACCAACAAUGAAUCUGGUUCAAACUUAGCAUACAUACUUAUCACGACCAGCUUUAAGUACUGGGGGGGGGGGGGGGGGUUGGGAGCAAUGGCAGAGGAUGAUGGGAGUUAUAGUUCACCAAUAUGCGAAGAACACUUUGACUCCCAAAGACGAUGGAUCUUGACCAAACGUGGCACACAUGUCUAUCACAACUGUCAUAAAAUACUGGGGUGGGGGGGGGGGGGGUUGGGGGAUUGUAGUUUACCCACAUCCUUAUUCAUUUUCUAAUGGAACCAUUCAUAAAAUCCAAAACCAAACAAUGGCUAUUUCUAAUGUUUAUCCUUACAAAAGACCUAACCCAGGCAUCACCAGGUACCUAAGCUGGUAUUAAUUAAAAAUAUAAAAUGGGAUUUUUGGUCUUUUACAACACUAACAGGACAAUAUGGGGUAGUUGUAGGAUGUCUGUUCAAAGCAUUUAAGUGUGGAGUUCCCUGGGUUGGCAACAGGUAGAGUAUUCAUUAGGAAACCAGUGAUUUUUUUUUAAACGUAAUGUAUGGGAAAAUUUUCUACUAUCCCCCUGCUAUUUGCUGAAGUUUGAUUUUAUGACACCCUCUGGAUACCAAACUAUUUGGAUGCUCAGGUCUCAUUAUAUACAAUGGCAUAAUAAAAUAGUGUACCUUAUAUAAAAAGGCAAAAUCAAAGUUUG